ACGGGAGGCAGCAGUGGGGAAUAUUGGACAAUGGGGGAAACCCUGAUCCAGCGACGCCGCGUGAGUGAAGAAGUAUUUCGGUAUGUAAAGCUCUAUCAGCAAGGAAGAAAAUGACGGUACUUGACUAAGAAGCUCCGGCUAAAUACGUGCCAGCAGCCGCGGUAAUACGUAGGGGGCAAGCGUUAUCCGGAUUUACUGGGUGUAAAGGGAGCGUAGACGGUAUGGCAAGUCUGAUGUGAAAACCCAAGGCUCAACCAUGGGACUGCAUUGGAAACUGUCAAACUAGAGUGCAGGAGGGGUAAGCGGAAUUCCUAGUGUAGCGGUGAAAUGCGUAGAUAUUAGGAGGAACACCGGUGGCGAAGGCGGCUUACUGGACUGUAACUGACGUUGAGGCUCGAAAGCGUGGGGAGCAAACAGGAUUAGAUACCCUGGUA
rnacentral:rRNA from 1 species